AUUUAUUAAGAAUGGGAAAACUGAAUAAAUCGAAUAUCCUAACCACUGACGAUUAGACACAUUAAUUCGAUUAAUAACAGUGAUGGUUAUGUUAAUGAAAAUACGAGAUGAGGAAACUUAUUAAUCAAAGCAAUCAUCUGGCUAAAAAUUAAACGAACAUCUGUGAAUGUUAAAAAUCUUAAGUAAACAACAAAUCGGUUAACAUAAUUUUCAACGAAAAAAAUGUUUUAAACCCAUUUCUUUAAUUCGUUAAUUUAAUCAGGAUUCCAUUUUAUCAUAAACAAGCAAAUGAACCGACACAAAAUGAAACGGAAGUUCCACAGAGGCACAAAAACUAAGUUUUACCAAAAUUACUCUGCAGCCUUUUGACGUGUUCAAAUAGAAAUGGCAUUUCCUACUU